AGUCGUAACAAGGUCUCCGUAGGGUGAGUUUGAACGACUUCUAACUAAUAUUGAAUGAAUGCUAACAGAUUUCCAGUGAACCUGCGGAGGGAUCAUUACUGAGUGAGGGUCUCUGACCCGACCUCCAACCCUUUGUGAUUUAAACCUCUGUUGCCUCGGGGGCGACCCGGCCGCGUCUAGGGCCCCCGACGGACCAUUUCAAAACACUGCAUCUUUGCGUCGGAUUGAAUAAAAGUAAAUGAUUAAACUUUUAACAACGGAUCUCUUGGUUCUGGCAUCGAUGAAGAACGCAGCGAAAUGCGAUAAGUAAUGUGAAUUGCAGAAUUCAGUGAAUCAUCGAAUCUUUGAACGCACAUUGCGCCCUCUGGUCAUUCCGGGGGCAUGCCCGUUCGAGCGUCAUGAACACCAAUCAAGCCUGGCUGGUAUUGGCGACCGGGGCGAUCCCGGCCUCAAAGUCGCCGGCUGGUAACUCUGAUCUCAGCGUCGUGAUCAAUCAAAUUCGCUUUGCAGAGGAGUGAGCCCGUGCCGUUAGAAUUAUCUAAAGGUUGACCUCGGAUCGGGUAGGAAUACCCGCUGAACUUAA
rnacentral:rRNA from 1 species